AUUGUCUCUCGCUGACGCCAGAGAUCCAGCUAUCGUCUUCACUGCUCUGUGCCGUCAGCUCCUAGAGGCCCAGCCUCUGUGGCCCUGUGACCUGCAGGUAUUAGGAGGGUCACAGCUAGGACGCCGGGACCCCCUGGAAGCCUAGAAAUGGUUGGCGUGCAGUCUCGCGAUCUCCGCUCACCGCAAGCUCCGCCUCCUGGGUUCACGCCAUUCUCCUGCCUCAGCCUCCCCAGUAGCUGGGACUACAGGCGCCCGCCACUACGCCCGCCUAAUUUUUUGUAUUUUUAGUAGAGAUGGGUUUCACCGUGUUAGCCAGGAUGGUCUCGAUCUCCUGACCUUGUGAUCCACCCGCCUCAGCCUCCCAAAUUGCUGGGAUUACAGGCGUGAGCCACCGCGCCCAGCCUAGUUAGGUAGUUUUUAAAUUUGUACAAUCGAGAUGGAAAUUUCCUGGUUAUGUAAUCAGAGUUUAAUUGGCAGUUUAUAGUUGCUUAAGCCUGAAUUUUGUUUCCCCUAAUGUAGUAAUUUACCAAAGAAUACACUUGAGUUUUGUUUUUUUUCCUUA
rnacentral:lncRNA from 10 species